AGAUGAUAACUCCUUCCUGCAACCAAACCAUCCAUCUCUGCUAGGUGGGAGGACAGCCUGGACACACAGUGCUCGGACAGACUCCUACAUACACCCACAAGCAGGUUCCUUUAUUUGGAGCUGAAUUCCACUCCCAGUUUACCAGAGGUCAUCUCUUGCCUAAGAAGAGCUGAAUGGCACAUCUCUGCAGAACCCAGGUCAUGGAAGACCUACUGCCAGGAGAUUAACCAUCAGUUUAGUGCAAGCUUGUCUGUGGGGGUAGGCAGCAGCUGGUAACGACUCUUCCUCACGAAAACUGCUGAAAAUUUGGGGGCUUUCUAGCAUUACUGUUUCAAGGAAAAACAGCAAUGUUCAAAGAAAAGAUGUAUUUUUGGGAAGAUUUUAUUUAAAUAAAGUUCCAGUUUAUCUUCA
rnacentral:lncRNA from 1 species